rnacentral:rRNA from 1 species
AUUGAACGCUGGCGGCAGGCCUAACACAUGCAAGUCGAACGAGUGGCGGACGGGUGAGUAAUGUCUGGGAAACCGCCUGAUGGAGGGGGAUAACUACUGGAAACGGUAUCUAAUACCGCAUACCAUCGGAUGUGCCCAGAUGGGAUUGGCUAGUCGGUGGGGUAAAGGCUUACCUAGGAGACGAUCCCUAGUUGGUCUGAGAGGAUGACCAGCCCAACUGGAACUGAGACACGGUCCAGACUCCUACGGGAGGCAGCAGUGGGGAAUAUUGCACAAUGGGCGCAAGCCUGAUGCAGCCAUGCCGCGUGUAUGAAGAAGGCCUUCGGGUUGUAAAGUACUUUCAGCGGGGAGGCGUUACCCGCAGAAGAAGCACCGGCUAACUCCGUGCCAGCAGCCGCGGUAAUAC